rnacentral:rRNA from 1 species
GUGAGGAAUAUUGCGCAAUGGACGAAAGUCUGACGCAGCCAUGCCGCGUGAAGGAUUGACGGCCCUAUGGGUUGUAAACUUCUUUUGUAUAGGAAUAAACCCUCGUUCGUGAACGAGGCUGAAGGUACUAUAAGAAUAAGCACCGGCUAACUCCGUGCCAGCAGCCGCGGUAAUACGGAGGGUGCAAGCGUUAUCCGGAUUUAUUGGGUUUAAAGGUUCCGUAGGCGGAUCGUUAAGUCAGUGGUGAAAUCCUACCGCUCAACGGUAGAACUGCCAUUGAUACUGGCGAUCUUGAGUAUGUAUGAAGUUGGCGGAAUGUGUGGUGUAGCGGUGAAAUGCUUAGAUAUCACACAGAACACCGAUUGCGAAGGCAGCUGACUAAUACACAACUGACGCUGAGGGACGAAAGUGUGGGGAUCAAACAGGAUUAGAUACCCGAGUAGUCC